CAAUAGCGUAUAUUAAAGUUGUUGCAGUUAAAAAGCUCGUAGUUGGAUUUGUGGCGUACGGUGUGUUCCGGGCACUUGUUGUCUGAGUAACCUGCUGUUGCCAUCCUUGGGUGGAACCUGUGUGGCAUUAGGUUGUCGUGCAGGGGAUGCCCAUCAUUUACUGUGAAAAAAUUAGAGUGUUCAAAGCAGGCUUAUGCCGUUGAAUAUAUUAGCAUGGAAUAAUGAGAUAGGACUUUUUUGCUAUUUUGUUGGUUUGCGCAAAGAGGUAAUGAUUAAUAGGGACAGUUGGGGGUAUUCGUAUUCCAUUGUCAGAGGUGAAAUUCUUGGAUUUUUGGAAGACGAACUACUGCGAAAGCAUUUGCCAAGGAUGUUUUCAUUAA
rnacentral:rRNA from 1 species